rnacentral:rRNA from 1 species
ACGGGUGAGUAACGCGUGGGAACGUACCCUUUACUACGGAAUAACGCAGGGAAACUUGUGCUAAUACCGUAUGUGCCCUUCGGGGGAAAGAUUUAUCGGUAAGGGAUCGGCCCGCGUUGGAUUAGCUAGUUGGUGGGGUAAAGGCCUACCAAGGCGACGAUCCAUAGCUGGUCUGAGAGAAUGAUCAGCCACAUUGGGACUGAGACACGGCCCAAACUCCUACGGGAGGCAGCAGUGGGGAAUAUUGGACAAUGGGCGCAAGCCUGAUCCAGCCAUGCCGCGUGAGUGAUGAAGGCCCUAGGGUUGUAAAGCUCUUUCACCGGAGAAGAUAAUGACGGUAUCCGGAGAAGAAGCCCCGGCUAACUUCGUGCCAGCAGCCGCGGUAAUACGAAGGGGGCUAGCGUUGUUCGGAAUUACUGGGCGUAAAGCGCACGUAGGCGGACAUUUAAGUCAGGGGUGAAAUCCCAGAGCUCAACUCUGGAACUGCCUUUGAUACUGGGUGUCUUGAGUAUGGAAGAGGUGAGUGGAAUUCCGAGUGUAGAGGUGAAAUUCGUAGA